AGUAAUGUCUGGGAAACUGCCUGAUGGAGGGGGAUAACUACUGGAAACGGUAGCUAAUACCGCAUAACGUCUUCGGACCAAAGUGGGGGACCUUCGGGCCUCACGCCAUCGGAUGUGCCCAGAUGGGAUUAGCUAGUAGGUGGGAUAAUGGCUCACCUAGGCGACGAUCCCUAGCUGGUCUGAGAGGAUGACCAGCCACACUGGAACUGAGACACGGUCCAG
rnacentral:rRNA from 1 species